rnacentral:rRNA from 1 species
UUUUCGACCUGAACUCAGACGUGAAUACCCGCU